CGGACGGGUGAGUAACGCGUGGGUAACCUGCCUCAUACAGGGGGAUAACAGUUAGAAAUGACUGCUAAUACCGCAUAAGACCACAGCACCGCAUGGUGCAGGGGUAAGAACUCCGGUGGUAUGAGAUGGACCCGCGUCUGAUUAGGUAGUUGGUGGGGUAACGGCCUACCAAGCCGACGAUCAGUAGCGGACCUGAGAGGGUGACCGGCCACAUUGGGACUGAGACACGGCCCAA
rnacentral:rRNA from 1 species